rnacentral:rRNA from 1 species
AGCGAACGCUGGCGGCAGGCCUAACACAUGCAAGUCGAACGGUUCCUUCGGGAUUAGUGGCUGAGGGGUGAGUAACCCGUGGGAACGUGCCCUUUGGUUCGGAACAACUCUAGGUAACUUGAGCUAAUACCGGAUGUGCCCUUCGGGGGAAAGAUUUAUCGCCAUUGGAGCGGCCCGCGUCUGAUUAGCUAGUUGGUGGGGUAAAGGCCCACCAAGGCGACGAUCAGUAGCUGGUCUGAGAGGAUGAUCAGCCACAUUGGGACUGAGACACGGCCCAUACUGCUACGGGAGGCAGCAGUGGGGAAUCUUGCGCAAUGGGCGAAAGCCUGACGCAGCCAUGCCGCGUGAAUGAUGAAGGUCUUAGGAUUGUAAAAUUCUUUCACCGGGGUCGAUAAUGACGGUACCCGGAGAAGAAGCCCCGGCUAACUUCGUGCCAGCCGCCGCAGUAAGAC